rnacentral:lncRNA from 1 species
GAAGUGAGGAAUCUUCACUAUUUUGUAGUAAUAGUGUUUGUUCUCGAUGUAUAUACCGAAUGAAAGAGAUAGAGCUACACACAGAGGCGGACACAUAUAGAAGGGAGAUGUCAACUGACACCAAUUAAUUAAAAGAAAAUGAUUUGUAUAGUAGUUUCUGUAACAAGAACACACUCAGAUUGUUACGGUGUCCUCCCGUUGACACCCUUACCCAUUUUCAAAUCCCCAUUUUUUUGUUUUGAUUUUAUUUUAAUAACCCAUUUUCGAAUUCCCAUUAUGUGCUCUGUUUUUGUUUUUUUUUUAAAUAAAAAUAUUUCUUCUAUAACCUAGUCCUUUAUUUUAUAUUAUGGGCUUACAGUAUAAAUUACUAGGCUUUUCGGCGUUUUUUAUAAUAAUUUAAAUACAUAGUUUAGAUAUAAAUAUGUUUUGAAAAAACAAAAAGAUAUUAAUAUGUAAUUUUCUGUAAAUUUAGCAAAACAAAUAUUUUCAAAACUAUAAAAUAUAUUAAUUUUAUGUUUAAUUCCAACAUCUUUUAUAUGAUGUUACGAUAAAUGAAAUAGUAAGUAAACUUAAAUAUGUGUAUGAAAAUUGUAUUAAUCAUUACAUAAAAAUAUUUUUUAAAUUUGCGUAGUAGUUUUUCUUGUUUUGCUAAGACUUUAUAUUUGAUCUUGUAUUUUGGAAGUGAUUAACCAAAACCUAAAUUUAGUCAAAUUAC